rnacentral:rRNA from 1 species
AACGAACGCUGGCGGCAUGCCUAACACAUGCAAGUCGAACGAGACCUUCGGGUCUAGUGGCGCACGGGUGCGUAACGCGUGGGAACCUGCCCUUAGGUUCGGAAUAACUCCCCGAAAGGGGUGCUAAUACCGGAUAAUGUCUUCGGACCAAAGAUUUAUCGCCUUUGGAUGGGCCCGCGUUGGAUUAGCUAGUUGGUAGGGUAAAAGCUUACCAAGGCGACGAUCCAUAGCUGGUCUGAGAGGAUGAUCAGCCACACUGGGACUGAGACACGGCCCAGACUCCUACGGGAGGCAGCAGUGGGGAAUAUUGGACAAUGGGCGAAAGCCUGAUCCAGCAAUGCCGCGUGAGUGGUGAAGGCCUUAGGGUUGUAAAGCUCUUUUACCCGGGAUGAUAAUGACAGUACCGGGAGAAUAAGCUCCGGCUAACUCCGUG